rnacentral:rRNA from 1 species
UACGUAGGGGGCUAGCGUUGUCCGGAAUCAUUGGGCGUAAAGCGCGUGUAGGCGGUCCGGUAAGUCCGCUGUGAAAGUCGGGGGCUCAACCCUCGAAAGCCGGUGGAAACUGUCGGGCUAGAGUACGGAAGAGGCGAAUGGAAUUCCUGGUGUAGCGGUGAAAUGCGCAGAUAUCAGGAGGAACACCAAUUGCGAAGGCAGCUCGCUGGGACGUUACUGACGCUGAGACGCGAAAGCGUGGGGAGCAAACAGG